UACGUAGGGCGCAAGCGUUGUCCGGAAUUAUUGGGCGUAAAGAGCUCGUAGGCGGCUUGUCACGUCGGGUGUGAAAGCCCGGGGCUUAACCCCGGGUCUGCAUUCGAUACGGGCAGGCUAGAGUGUGGUAGGGGAGAUCGGAAUUCCUGGUGUAGCGGUGAAAUGCGCAGAUAUCAGGAGGAACACCCGUAGCGAAGGCGGCACUCUGGGCCGAUACUGACACUGAGGAGCGAAAGCGUGGGGAGCGAACAGG
rnacentral:rRNA from 1 species